rnacentral:rRNA from 1 species
AGUGAACGCUGGCGGCAGGCCUAACACAUGCAAGUCGAGCGGCAGCGGGUUCCCGCGAGGGGAUGCCGGCGAGCGGCGGACGGGUGAGGAACACAUCGGAAUCUGCCUGGUUGUGGGGGAUAACGUAGGGAAACUUACGCUAAUACCGCAUGCGACCCUGAGUCGACGGACUGGGGGUGAAAGUGAGGGACCUUCGGGCCUCACGCGACCAGAUGAGCCGAUGUCGGAUAGCUAGUUGGCGGGGUAACGGCCCGCCAAGGCGACGAUCCGUAGCUGGUCUGAGAGGAUGAUCAGCCACACUGGGACUGAGAC